GAUGAACGCUGGCGGCGUGCCUAACACAUGCAAGUCGAGCGACCAGACGAGGAUCGGGCUGGUGGCACGUGACGGGCGGACGAGUAAGGAACAGGAAGGUAACCAACAGAGAAGGCUGGGAAAGCGACGGGAAAGCGGAGCUAAUAUAGGACAAAAGGGGGAAAGGAAGGGAUCAUAAGAGAAAGAAGGUUUGGAGGGGACGUAAAGAGGGAUCCGAGCCGCAUUAGCUAGUUGGUAAGGUAACGGCGCACCAAGGCAACGAUGCGUAGCCGACCUGAGAGGACGAUCCGCCACACUGGGACUGAGACACGGCCCAGACUCCUACGGGAGGCAGCAGUGGGGAAUCUUGGGCAAUGGGCGCAAGCCUGACCCAGCCAUCCCGCGUGUGUGAUGAAGGUCUUCGGGUUGUAAAACUCUUUUAGCAGGGAAGAAACGUCGCGUGCGAAUACCCCGUGGAACUGACGGUACCUGCAGAAUAAGCACCGGCUAACUACGUG
rnacentral:rRNA from 1 species